rnacentral:rRNA from 1 species
UGGGGAAUAUUGCACAAUGGGCGCAAGCCUGAUGCAGCCAUGCCGCGUGUAUGAAGAAGGCCUUCGGGUUGUAAAGUACUUUCAGUCGGGAGGAAGGUGGUAAGGUUAAUAACCUUAUCAAUUGACGUUACCGACAGAAGAAGCACCGGCUAACUCCGUGCCAGCAGCCGCGGUAAUACGGAGGGUGCAAGCGUUAAUCGGAAUUACUGGGCGUAAAGCGCACGCAGGCGGUUGAUUGAGUCAGAUGUGAAAUCCCCGGGCUUAACCCGGGAAUUGCAUCUGAUACUGGUCAGCUAGAGUCUUGUAGAGGGGGGUAGAAUUCCAGGUGUAGCGGUGAAAUGCGUAGAGAUGUGGAGGAAUACCGGUGGCGAAGGCGGCCCCCUGGACAAAGACUGACGCUCAGGUGCGAAAGCGUGGGGAGCAAACAGG